CUACGGGAGGCUCCAGUGGGGAAUAUUGCACAAUGGACGAAAGUCUGAUGCAGCAACGCCGCGUGGAGGAUGACACAUUUCGGUGCGUAAACUCCUUUUAUAUAGGAAGAUAAUGACGGUACUAUAUGAAUAAGCGCCGGCUAACUCCGUGCCAGCAGCCGCGGUAAUACGGAGGGCGCAAGCGUUACUCGGAAUCACUGGGCGUAAAGAGCGUGUAGGCGGAUAGAUAAGUCAGGAGUGAAAUCCUAUGGCUCAACCAUAGAACUGCUCUUGAAACUGUCUAUCUAGAAUAUGGGAGAGGUAGAUGGAAUUUCUGGUGUAGGGGUAAAAUCCGUAGAGAUCAGAAGGAAUACCGAUUGCGAAGGCGAUCUACUGGAACAUUAUUGACGCUGAGACGCGAAAGCGUGGGGAGCAAACAGGAUUAGAUACCCCCGUAGUC
rnacentral:rRNA from 1 species